GUCUAGGUAGUAUAGUGGUUAGUAUGCUCGCUUGUGGUACCCGCUUUCGUAAGCGAAUCCCGCGAUUGACGUCAGUUCGAUUCUGGCCCUGGACA